rnacentral:rRNA from 1 species
UACAGAGGGUGCAAGCGUUGUUCGGAUUCAUUGGGCGUAAAGGGUGCGUAGGUGGCGGGGCAAGUUUGGUGUGAAAUCCCGGGGCUCAACCCCGGAACUGCACUGAAUACUGCCUUGCUAGAGCACUGGAGAGGGAACUGGAAUUUACGGUGUAGCAGUGAAAUGCGUAGAUAUGCGGAGGAACACCGAUGGCGAAGGCAAUCCCCUGGGCCUGCACUGACGCUCAUGCACGAAAGCGUGGGGAGCAAACAGG